CCCUGUUUCAAUUCUCAACGGAGUUACUCCGCAUCUAAAUUUAGCAAAAGCACUUCUAUAUUUAUACGAUAAAUUUUUAGAUAAAUAUGAUUCACUUCCAUAACUGUCUUUAAACAAUUUAUAAGUCCGUAUUUUUUUACCAACAUCUUGUGUCAAUAUUCUAUUUUGCCAGUUUUCUAUAUGCUUAUCAAAUAAAACUUCUUCCAGCUGCGUAGUAUUUUAUUUAUACAAUGCAUUAUUUACAUC
rnacentral:lncRNA from 1 species